UAGCUUUGGUACGCAACCCGACUCCCCAAUCUCACCCUCGUCGAGCCAGAGUCAUCGUCUCCAGUUCUCCACCCAAAAUCCAUGUCUUCUCACCAUUGACGUUUGAAACUCGCCUCAUGUUGCACAAUUGUCGCAACCCAAGCUUCCUUCUUUUUCUUCCUCUCACAAAAUUGUAGUCCUCCGAUGGUAUCGACCUCCCUUGGAGUUUUCGCCCCAAAAAUUGAAGACUUGGAAGCACAUAUAGUCAUCUAGAGUUUUUCUCGAGUAUGGGUUCCCUCUUUUCUGAUACUUUUGAUUUCCAAUUGCUUUUUUGUGUACUAUGUUUUUCUUGUGACUGCUUGUAGAUCAAGUGAAGAAGCCCAUUCAUGAUCUGCUGUACGCAUGGAGAAAGUUGAAAUUGGAGUCAUGGCAGGCAUUGCUUGACGAAGUGCAGGAUCAAUAGUAGAUUAAUGCUGGAAAGUUGUGGUUUUCUCUUUACUCAGUUCUACGAAAGCGAACUUCUCCUGAUGCUACUGAAUACAAAUUGUCUACUAUCCAAAUUGUGGAGGACUUCAUUUGCACAUCCAGCUUUGGUGAAUUUAGAAAAAGCCUUCAACUUCUUUUUGCGUUCCUUGGCCAUAUAAAAACUGGCAUAUGCCUUCAAGCUAGUAUUUUUUGAGAGCUUCAGCUCAAGCUAGUACUAGGAAACCAGGGGCUCAUUAGUUGUUAAUCAACAGAGUAGCUAUAAAUAUCGGUCGAAUCAUUUUAGACCAGUAAAAGUCUGUAUAUCAUUGUGGGAUUAUCAAUUCCCAAGGAAAUAUUAGUCCCACUUUAAAAUGACUUGGCAUAUAUUAUAUUUUAUUUGCACUCAUAGAAGGGAAAGAAGAAAAGAACAAAUAAGAAUAUAUAAUUUAUGUGGUUCCUUUGUAGUGUGCUUACGCCUGAUCAAAGACUGAUUUAAGUGUUGCUGCAUUUUAUCAAUGUGCUUUAAUAUGCAAAUAAUGGAAUAACUACAAAGGAAAACACAGUGAUAUAUCAUUUCUAUCUUCUGCUUAACUCAUUUAUCCUUGUGUAUCUGAUUAAUUGGUGAAC